GGACGAUAAUGACGGUACUUUAGGAGGAAGCUCCGGCUAACUACGUGCCAGCAGCCGCGGUAAUACGUAGGGAGCGAGCGUUGUCCGGAAUUACUGGGUGUAAAGGGAGCGUAGGCGGGACGGCAAGUCAGAUGUGAAAACCAUGGGCUCAACCCAUGGACUGCAUUUGAAACUGUUGUUCUUGAGUGAAGUAGAGGUAAGCGGAAUUCCUGGUGUAGCGGUGAAAUGCGUAGAUAUCAGGAGGAACACCGGUGGCGAAGGCGGCUUACUGGGCUUUAACUGACGCUGAGGCUCGAAAGCGUGGGUAGCAAACAGGAUUAGAUACCCUGGUAGUCCACGCUGUAAACGAUGAUUACUAGGUGUGGGGGGACUGACCCCUUCCGUGCCGCAGUUAACACAAUAAGUAAUCCACCUGGGGAGUACGGCCGCAGGGUUGAAACUCAAAGGAAUUGACGGGGGCCCGCACAAGCAGUGGAGUAUGUGGUUUAAUUCGAAGCAACGCGAAGAACCUUACCAGGUCUUGACAUCGUAUGCAUAUCUAAGAGAUUAGAGAAAUCCCUUCGGGGACAUAUAGACAGGUGGUGCAUGGUUGUCGUCAGCUCGUGUCGUGAGAUGUUGGGUUAAGUCCCGCAACGAGCGCAACCCUUACCAUUAGUUGCUACGCAAGAGCACUCUAAUGGGACUGCCGUUGACAAAACGGAGGAAGGUGGGGAUGACGUCAAAUCAUCAUGCCCCUUAUGACCUGGGCUACACACGUACUACAAUGGCAAUUAACAAAGAGCAGCGAAGCGGUGACGUGGAGCGAAUCUCCAAAAAUUGUCCCAGUUCGGAUUGC
rnacentral:rRNA from 1 species